rnacentral:rRNA from 1 species
UGCCUAUACAUGCAGUCGAGCGGACAGAAGGGAGCUUGCUCCCGGAUGUUAGCGGCGGACGGGUGAGUAACACGUGGGUAACCUGCCUGUAAGACUGGGAUAACUCCGGGAAACCGGAGCUAAUACCGGAUAGUUCCUUGAACCGCAUGGUUCAAGGAUGAAAGACGGUUUCGGCUGUCACUUACAGAUGGACCCGCGGCGCAUUAGCUAGUUGGUGGGGUAAUGGCUCACCAAGGCGACGAUGCGUAGCCGACCUGAGAGGGUGAUCGGCCACACUGGGACUGAGACACGGCCCAGACUCCUACGGGAGGCAGCAGUAGGGAAUCUUCCGCAAUGGACGAAAGUCUGACGGAGCAACGCCGCGUGAGUGAUGAAGGUUUUCGGAUCGUAAAGCUCUGUUGUUAGGGAAGAACAAGUGCGAGAGUAACUGCUCGCACCUUGACGGUACCUAACCAGAAAGCCACGGCUAACUACGUGCCAGCAGCCGCGGUAAUACGUAGGUGGCAAGCGUUGUCCGGAAUUAUUGGGCGUAAAGGGCUCGCAGGCGGUUUCUUAAGUCUGAUGUGAAAGCCCCCGGCUCAACCGGGGAGGGUCAUUGGAAACUGGGAAACUUGAGUGCAGAAGAGGAGAGUGGAAUUCCACGUGUAGCGGUGAAAUGCGUAGAGAUGUGGAGGAACACCAGUGGCGAAGGCGACUCUCUGGUCUGUAACUGACGCUGAGGAGCGAAAGCGUGGGGAGCGAACAGGAUUAGAUACCCUGGUAGUCCACGCCGUAAACGAUGAGUGCUAAGUGUUAGGGGGUUUCCGCCCCUUAGUGCUGCAGCUAACGCAUUAAGCACUCCGCCUGGGGAGUACGGUCGCAAGACUGAAACUCAAAGGAAUUGACGGGGGCCCGCACAAGCGGUGGAGCAUGUGGUUUAAUUCGAAGCAACGCGAAGAACCUUACCAGGUCUUGACAUCCUCUGACAACCCUAGAGAUAGGGCUUUCCCUUCGGGGACAGAGUGACAGGUGGUGCAUGGUUGUCGUCAGCUCCUGUCCUGAGAAGUUGGGGUUAAGUCCCGCAACGAGCGCAACCCUUGAUCUUAGUUGCCAGCAUUCAGUUGGGCACCCUAAGGGGACUGCCGGUGACAAACCCAAGAAA